rnacentral:rRNA from 1 species
AUUGAACGCUGGCGGCAUGCUUUACACAUGCAAGUCGAACGGUAACAGGCCUUCGGGUGCUGACGAGUGGCGAACGGGUGAGUAAUGCAUCGGAACGUACCCAGAGGUGGGGGAUAACGCAGCGAAAGCUGUGCUAAUACCGCAUGUGAUCUGAGGAUGAAAGCGGGGGACCGAGCAGCAAUGUUUGGCCUCGCGCCUUUGGAGCGGCCGAUGUCGGAUUAGCUAGUUGGUGGGGUAAAGGCCUACCAAGGCGACGAUCCGUAGCUGGUCUGAGAGGACGACCAGCCACACUGGGACUGAGACACGGCCCAGACUCCUGCGGGAGGCAGCAGUGGGGAAUGUUAGACAGUGGGCGCAAGCCUGGUCCAGCAAUGCCGCGUGCGGGAAGAAGGCCUUCGGGUUGUAAACCGCUUUUGGCAGGAACGAAACGGUGUCCGCUAAUACCGGGCGCUAAUGACGGUACCUGCAGAAUAAGCACCGGCUAACUACGUG